CUUGAGUUCUCUCACUGGCUAUUUUCCACGACCUCGUCUCUCUCAUCGCGGUUCUCUCACCAUCGCAAUUUAAGAUUUUAAUUUUCUUGAGAAUCUCCAGAACUCUCACUUUUGGUUCAGAACAAGGGAAAAAACACUGCCAGCAUUUCUAUUACGGCUCCUAAAUUUGUAAAACUGAAACAUAACAAAAUUGAACUCCAGGGGAAGGAAAACAAGAAGGCAGCUAAUAUCGAAGGCGAAGCUUUUGGGGUUCACGAUGGUUCAUUCCAACUGGUGAAGUAAUUUUUCAGUUUAGGACGUGGCAAGUGCAGUGGAUGUUUAAUUGAGAGAUUUCUUUUGCUUUAAACUGCCAAUCUACUCAAUCUUCGAAAGAAAUGGAAGCAAUGAGAAGACAAAUUUCAGAGCUGACGAAUGACUUAAAACAUCUGAAACUAACUUUGAUAGAGUGCAGAAGUUCAUGGAGAAACAUAUGGCUGAAUAUGAUGAUGGUGAAGAAGAGACUGACUCUGAUGAAGAGUAGAUUGUUUCUGGCUAUUUAGACAUUUUCUAUGAGAUUUAGAUUUGUUUUAAACUAUUUAGUUCCGUUUUGAAUAACAACUGAAUACUUAUUAGAUUUAAUUUUGAUGAUGCUUGAACUUUUAGACUCAAUUAUAUUGAAUGGAAUUUGAAUGUUUAGGAAUGUAUUUGAUGUUUG